AUUUGGCUGAGUAAACUGAGGCUGUCCCACUCUGUAAAGUGUAAUCUCUAGAGUUCUCUAGAACAUUCCUCGUGAUGAUAAGGAAAAGUUAUAACAACAGUCCCUCACUUGUUACUUGAGCACCACUGGUUCCUGUCAUCCAUGACUAGGUCAGUGCUUCUCCACUCUGUAUACCCUACUGUUAAUUGCACGCGAAAUGAUGCAACUGUUUUGGUACCUGAAGUAAGUAUGACGUGUCGAGAAGGUUGGACCUCAUAUACUUGAGACAUUUAGGCACGUCACGCUAAUAGCUAAUUGGGGUUAGAUUAAGCAAUAAUUGUGACGGCCCCCCUCCCCAAUCUAAUUAUGAUACAUGAUAUAUAUAAAGAGUGGCGUUCCAUCUCAGCUCAUUGUUAACUCGGUACUAAUUGUAAUUGUGUCCCUCAAGAACAGCUUAGAAGGGGGUUGCAAUAUGACAAGUCAACUCGAAUGAUCAUUGGUUGAUUGUUUCACGUUUUGCUUAGUCUUGGUAUACUUUGUCAAGGUGAAAGAUAAUUGCUCAGUCUCAAGAUUGCUAUUAUAAAUAAAACUAGGACCACUAAAUUACAGAGCUCAUUGUUGAAUGUUGCGGCACUAAUUCUCCUUUAGUAGAUUGGAGAUGUUGUUCUUUGUGUCACUAGUUGCACUGCUCCUGACGGCGACAAGACCCGAGUCUAUUGACCCUGAAACCCAAGAAGAAACAGAAAAGUGUUUAAAAUCCAAACACGAGGAUGAAUAUGGAACAGAUUGGGCUUCCAACAACAGCAAAUCCGGAGGUAGUCUAGUGUCCUUUCGAAGAAGAAGAAGACAAGCCAUAGUCGAGAGGAAACUCGAGAAGAAAUCAUCAAAAACACAUGAAACCAACAUUUUGUUUCGUGGGUCUUGCGAUAGUUACUUCGCUAUCUAUGGUUCUGCGCUUGAGGCUCUGAAGAAAAUGUCAACCAACCUGACUGUAGGAUGUUCGGUAAACAAACAUUCUGCUAUUUCGUGUAUCUACAGCUAUCGUUUGCCUGGUUUGUAGUUGUAUAUUAAGGUGGUAUUAUUUGUGGAAUUUCAGUUGGUAUUUUUCUAAUGACAGAUGGUAUUUCAUGAACCAAGAUUUAGUUAAGAGGCACAGGAUGGAAGUUUGAAUUUUUUCGUGCUUAAUAAAACACUAUUUCUUGUUAUUGUUUACACAUAGUGGAAUGAAGUGUUUCAGAAUGAUUGCAUUAUUAUUAUGGUUGUACCUUUUAUUGAGAAGUAAUAAAUGCACAUGUUUGAAUUCAA